UUAUCUGCUGAGAUGAACCUGAACUAAAGGCAAUGAAGAAUAGCAGAAUGAAUAAUGCAGAAGACUGAAUAAGUGAUCUGGAGAUAGAAUAAUGGAAAUCAC